ensembl:lncRNA
CCCCCCCCCCAAAAAAAAUGACUGUAGUCGGCCAAGACACAGAGCUCAGUGUGUUGUGUGUCGUGAAAUACUGCCGGCAGGUGAUCUGAAUCAAUGUUCUAUGUUUCCGUGUCCUCCUGGGGGCUCGAGCUCCCGCCGACCGGUAGGCAUCGGAAGGAGAUUACAUGUAUACGGCUUUUUACCUGAUUUGGACACCAACACCAUCCAAUUGAACCUUGGAAUCUUCACUCAAAGCCUCUGUAUUGUUUCUUGUCACACCCACCGUGGUUGUCCACGGGGCCGAAGUGCUGAAUAGUGCUGUGACCUUGGCACUUCCCACUGGGAACCAGCUGCCUGCCCUGUGUGUACUGUGAACCAAAGGUAACCGGUAAAUACCACAAAAUAUGAUAUAGGAUUGGUACAUAGAGCAGCGUACUCGCUCAAACCAGAGUCAGCAUUUCAGGCUGUACAACAUCUGGUACUGGUAUCGGAACAACUGUGAAGAACUGAGUGAUGAGUCUGGGUUGCUACGGGGCUGAAUUGCUUUAAAAGGAAAAAGCGCCACAUAAGAGAACAGUUCCUUCAUCCAGAAGCGCCGCUGAAAAGAGCCAUUGUUCCGUUGUGUUUUAUAUGCCCGCUACUCAUCCACUCUAGAUGUAUUUGUUUCUUCUAAUGUAUUUCAUUUCAAUGCCGUCCUGUUUGUUGAGCUGUCAAAAUAAUUCUGAAGAAUUCUAGUUCUCUUUUCUUUGGUGUUGUGUGAGGCUUCUGUGCUGGAACAUUGCAACAGUUUGUAUUAUAAUGACAAUAUCAGAAUAAUAUUUAAAUAAACCAUUUUCACAGAGGAAAUCCCCCCACAGAGACGUCCUGUCUGUUUGCUCGGGAACAAACCGAGCUUCAUACUGAGUGAACGGGUCAGACUGCUGACGACAAUAGUCCCGCUAACUGUCACUUACAUUCAGUCCGCUCUCAUUCACGCAGCUACCCGACAGAAAGAAAUAGUAAUAUGAAAGAAGAAAGUAAUUACCUGAAAGCACAUAUGUGUUUUAUGUUCUGUGGAAAGCUUCUGUUUGGCAGAAUGACUUCAACCUUGCGUGAAAACUCACCCGUGGCUGGAAUACGAUAUAGAACAUUUGCAAACCCUUAACAUCCAGCUUUGAUGCAUUACUGUAAGGGAUAACAUUGUAAUACUUUCAAUUGUUAGUACUAGUAAAGCCUGACUGAAUGGGGCCCUAUAGACAUUCAUGAAGUACAACUUAUAUGUAAUAAUAAUCACCUUCUGUACACAUGAUUAGUGCUACAGAAUUACAACUGAGCACAUAGUGAAUUAUAAUAGCAAUGCUUUUCUUGAGUCAUGAUAACUAAUAAUAUUCACCAGACUUGUGAAAGUGUCCAAGUUACUGAUUAGGGAGUUUUUUCUGUGCCGAUGUGAUGGUUUCUCUGUGUGUACAGACUGUAAAGCCCUCUGAGGCUAAUUGGUGAUUGGGUUACACAAAAUAAAAAAAUGAAUUGAAUUAAAAACUAGAAUUAUAAUACGUGGGUGCUCAAUGGACCUCCGUGACCUCUUUUCAAACAUAAUAACUCAUACUCAAAGUCGUCAUAAUGACUUCACAACAACAAACAAUUUUAUUUCAUAUCUUUACAUUUAGCGGUGAAUUACAUUACAUUAUGAUGGUUUCUACCUUGACUGCAACGAUACACCUUUUUUCAUUUAAAAAAAACUGUUUAAUAAUCCAGUGCAACAUUUGCUGAUAAAUAAAGAAUGUAUGUUGAGUAUACCUUUUUCUGACCAAAAAUAAAAGAUUAAAUGUAGAAAAAUAGUUGUGAAGUACUCAGGACCAAAUAACCUGUAUAACUUCUAGUACACAAACCAAUCUAGCAUUUUGCAGGUGAUAUUGAAAAUCAAUGUUACUGCAGGUCUUAGAUUUUGGAAGUCAGCCUUCAUCACUGGAAACCUUGGAAACAGGAAACUAGCUCUCUUGGUGAAAGUGGUCCUGUCAAAUCUCAUCACCCAUUCAUCUGUUUAAAAGACAAGAUAGGGGAAUGGAGAGGGGGAGGAAAAAAGAUGCUCUUUGGAAUGACGAGUAGAAUUGGCAGCGGCGGCUCAGCUAAUCAGGUUUACUUAUCAGUGAAUUCAGAAUGCAAAGCAGGCAAAGAAAUAGACGAGGAAUAAUGCAAAAUGAAACGUCUGUGUUUGUAAAUUCUGCAGCCAGUGACGUAUUUAUCCGCGUGGAGGAAAUAGCAACCCAGCAACCUGCCUCUGGCUCUCUAGUCAGCCGCUGGUCCUGUUGCUGAACAACAAAAUGAAUGAACGACUUAGUGUGUUUAAAUUGUCCAUAUCCAAAUGUGUUGGGACAAUCACAGAUGGGAGACAUUGUCUUCGGUCUUUUUGUAUGUCUCAAUCGCAGAUUAAAAUAACACAGGGAGCGUGAGGUUUAUAUUUUCAGAUCAAACGAAGUAUUAUUAAAUAUGCAUGCAUACAUUGCAGAGACGGAAUCCAUGCUGAGCGCGAGACACGCUGUGAUUCUAGCUAUAAUAUAAAGUCCCCCGCUGAUAGCGCCUCAUGGUGAAGGCAAUGUGUUCUCAACUGCUUCCCACACCUCGAGGAUCACAUGGUACAUCAGAAAGAGUGAAGAUCUCCCCAUGACAACACAGUGGAGACACGGCGGCCUAAGGGUUGGAGAAGUGGAGUUCACUUGAAGUUACUUGGCAAGAAGAAGAGGAAGCGUGCCUGAAAGUCGAAAGCCUCCCAACCGUGUACAGCUUUGUUGUGCCCUUCGGAUUUAAUAACAAGCACUCAAGUUGGUUUGAAUGAAGAUUUUGAGUUGCUUUUAAGUACACUUCAUGUCCUUCCUCAAAGGGUAGAUUGGCUCGAUUACUAUGGAGAUGGUAUGAAGAAAUCAUUAUAUGAAAAUAUUUAGACGGUGCCAUGCAAAACUGUUGCAAACAUUAUUCAUAGAGUCAUUAUUCAUAGAGCCAUUAUUCAUGGAGCCACCGUUUUCAUUAAUAACCCAAACAGGGUCCCUUUUGUGUCAAAGGCAUACAAUUUGUUAUCCCAUCGAUUGACCUAGACUUAACCUUCUGCAGAUUUACUUCUACAUGCCCAACAGUCAUCACUCAUUUCACCACAGAAUGUCCUGAUUAGGAAGUACAACAAUCACGCAAUGCUGUAGAAUUUGGUGGUGAGGACAGUUCAAAAAUCAGUAAAGUUGUCCUUGAAAAUCUUCACCGACGAACAAGUCAGGAACUUAACCAUUAAACAGACGUUAUAAAGAAUAAUUUCAAAGGGAACACUUUCAAAUAAUCAGAAAGGUGUGGGUGACUAAUUCCCAUUGAAUACACAUAUGGCCACAUAAUUAUGAAUGAACUACAACCGUUCAGCACCUAUGGACGAGGUUGGGGUUAUAAAGCAAUUGUUGGAGAAAUGGGUCUCAGCAUGAAAGCAUCAGCAGUGUUUUCAGAUACAAACAGAGUCUUUGAGCACUUACACCAACAUUGUUCACGAGUCAUCUGAUGUACGAGUCACUGGACAUUACAAAUGAAGAACAUACAUACAUGUUGGCAUUAGUUGGUCCAAUGGGAAUUCAUGGACAAUCAGUACAGAUACGGAUCUUCCCCCCAGGAGACCACUUCUGUGUUCAACCAAAAGUCAAUCUUACAUUUAAUUCAUGUAACGUACUCAAUUUAAACCACACAGCAUAUGUACCUGAAAUGGCGCAACAGAGAUACUUAUUCAACCCGAACCAGGAUCUUUGACCCAAAACGAACCACUUUUUUUUGCCACAACCCGAGUGAUGACAAGGGGCAGCCAAUGACCUGUCUAAGUACUUUCUUUUAUGAUUGAAUGGGUUGAUGAAGGUCACAGAUCUUACUAUAGCAGUAGCAAGAAAAGGUCCUACUCUGGCUAAUUUGGAUUUCCCGGAAAUGAAUACAAAUCUCCUUUCCGCGUUGAUAAUUGCUGACCGGUACCUCUGACUUAACAGGAUAAAAGGUCCUCUGACGCCGUCUUAUUACUGUGAUUGGGAUCUGGUGGCUUGCAAAGCGCUAACAAGCAAUUCUGCUCAAAGACAUUUUAACAAAGGAAAAGCAAUUGAAGGGCAUUCAACUUUACUAAAGUUUCUGUUGCUAUUCACUGUGUGUGUGUGUGUGUGUGUGUGUGUGUGUGUGUGUGUGUGUGUGUGUGUGUGUGUUUGUGUGUGUGUGUGUGUGUGUGUGUUUGUGUGUGUUUGAGUGUGAGAACAGUCCUGCAUUAUUUAUUUGCACUCAUUAAAAGUAAUCAAUUGAAGCUGGCAUUGAUGUAAGGGUCUUUAUUGGGCUUUCAGGAAUCCGUCACUGUAAUGUACCUUAUGACUUUCUAACCCUACCUGAUUGUUUUGUUCCACCAAAUCCCCAGAGGAAUGAAAAUGUGUUUGUGCAGAGCCACCGGUGCUAAGCAUCUCUCACUGCUGUAGGAUUUACAAACUCAAAAGGCUUUGGGAGAAAGUCGUAUUGGCAUGUCAGCUGAAACAAUAUUGCGGCGGGGUUAAGGAUGUCUCUCAAUGACUUAUUACGCCCAAGAAAAGCCCAUGUCAGCUUAAGCGUACAAAAACAAAGCUCUGAGUUCAACCCAACAUCAGAGACAGAUGAAGCGGUGUGAUAGCGUUUAUGGAAAUGGGCUCUGCUGCUUUAGGUGAGUGGGCGCGUUGAUUAAAAAAGUGCCCAAGAGAAUUGUGUUUUGAAUGCAUGUUGACUGAAUGUGAAGUCUGCCUCAUUAAACUAUAAAACAGGCGUGUACUUUUCUCCUGACCCUUCCAUGAUCACACACAAAUCCAUCACUGUUAAUCAUAGAUGUUGAAAGAUGUGUUCGUGUGUGUGUUCUCGUCCACAGUACAUUUUUGUGUGUCUUAAUGCAGCAUGCACCAGAGAGGCGAUACUGCAGUUUGGCAUCCAAGCGGCAUCCAACAUGGAAGACCCCUCUAGCUAAAUCCUCUUUCCUCUUAUAUAACAUAACGACUAAGAUGUUAAAAUGAACACUAACAUACUGUACAUCUGUGUCGACAAGCUCAACCAUUAAUGUGCACUCAUUUGCUGUCUCCCAUGUUAGGACCUGUAAAUAAGUGAGACAGAGAGAUUCAUUCUAUGUUUAGCCUAGCUUAGCACAAAGUCUGAAAGCAGGGGCAAAAUAUACCCUGCUACUGGAAACAUACCUUUAAGUAUAUCAAUAAUCAAUAGAAAAAAUCAAUAGAAUUUUGAUGUAACGUUGCGUAACAUUACAUGCAAUAAAUGUGUGAACGUGGCAAUCCAUUAACGCAGAUUAUGAAUUUAUCAUUCGUCAACAGUAUUUUUCUCUUUUUUUGAGCAUCGGGAGGAGCUUAACGCUGCUGUACACAUGAAGCGAGAAAAUGGAGAAAGGUCCUGCACCUUGAAAUGGACAUUUUCAUUUGCAAGCUACCAGACGGCGUAGUUGGUAAAAGCAAAGCUAUUUGUAACCACUGCAAACUGGAAGGGUCUUAUCCCAGGGUACUAUGAGCCUCAGGUACCACGAGCCUAAAGUACUACAAUCCUCAGGUACUACGAGCAUGAAGUACUACGAGCCUCAGGUACCACGAGCCUCAGGGACCACAAGCCUCAAGUACCAUUUGCCUCAGGUACCACGAGCCUAAAGUACUGCGAGCCUCAGGUACUACGAGCAUGAAGUACUACGAGCCUCAGGUACUACGAGCAUGAAGUACUUUCUUCUGAUACAAGUGAGCUUCUAUUAAGAUUAACAACAGACCCUGUGUGAACAACAAUUAGUCACACACACAAUCAUUGUGCGCCGGACUACAAGACAAAAGGCACAAUGAAGGGGAAAUAGGCGAUAGGAGGAUGAAAAGAAGCCUUUUACCCACUUAGAAGAUGGUUAAAGAGCUUGUAUGGUUCCAACACUCACACCAGCUUUAGCACAGGUCCAAUUCUUCUUUUAGUUGAAGAAAAGACAUAACGUGUAAAAACAGGAAUAAUUACAGUUACCGAGUUAGUGCUUGUCGAUCCAGGAUGGUAGUUUGACUUCACUUAACAAAUCUAAUCUAAAGAAGUAGGAAACAAAGUCUUACAUUUUGGAAUUAUGCAUAAUGCAAUGAAAAAUAGGUCUGUAUUGUAACCAAUGGUUUACCCAAAUAUAAUAUAUAUAUAAGAUACAGCUCAGGAACUUAAAGUUAUUUGAACAAGACGUUGUUAUCCCCAGAAGAAGGAAGAGGAACAGCAUUAUUCAUGUACUAGUGUCACAAUAUAGUGACCGUUUCAGAAAAAUAUGACUAAUUAUUUUAACACUUUCACUGCUAAAUAAACAGUAGUGAACAUAAAAACAUUGUUUUCUUUAAAACAUGCUGACGACUAUACAUUCACAAACGCUAAUCCUGCAGUUUUAAGCAAUGACAAGACGAUUCCACAGUCAACAAGAUAAAACAAGAGUGCAAAUGAGGGCUUUGUCAUUAUUAUAAAGGGAUCACAGAUGUGAAGGAGCCUUUGAAAGAUGGAUCUAGUUGUGCAUGUGAGAGCUAUUCCAGAUGUUUUGCUUGGUUUGUAAUACUUAAUACAACAGGGUGAGAUGGGUUUAUCUUUCUCAGCUGCCUCUGCACAGAUGCUGCUCUGAAAUAGUUGUGGUCAUCACGAUUAGGCCACGCAGCAAAUGGCUGCUAGAAGAACUCGCCUGGAUUACGACCUCUUCCUCUCCGUCUUUACUCUCAUUUAAUCACUGACUUCAUUUCAAUGUCAGGCGAGCUGCCUGAGUCUCCCUGGUUGUGAAUAGAUGCAUGUAAUAGAGCAUACUGAAGGCCUCAGACUAGAAAGGGCCACAGUGUGUUUCUGUCCCCGUGCAAAGGCUGAGCGGAGUGUGUAUUAUGAAGCCGUUCAGCCGAGGCCUGUCACACUUAACUCUUUGUAAUAAUUAAUACACCACCAUCCGCGGCUCUUUUAACAUUUUCUGCUGGUAUAAAAUAUACGUUAUUUCUGUAAAAAACAAAAGAAAAAGAAAGAGACAACGCAGAAAAAGAGGACUGAAACCAUCACACCAUCCAUUAACCUGCCUGCCGGUGAUUCCUGUGAUGAGAAAUUGUGUUGUUCAAGAAAAAAUUAAAAUAGUGACUAAAAAUCUUUCAAAAUAUCCAUCGAGAUUAAUCAAUUUAUCUUUUGGUUUUAUCCAACUCAUUUGAAGGGAACAUUUUUUACAGGUUUCUAGAAGCUAAUUUUAGCCAAAUGUUGUUAAGAAGCAGUGAAGCAGGUUAUAAUAAUGCAUAUUCAUAAUUUUAUGGAUGAGCGUUGCCUUUUCACUCUCAGACCCCUUUGGAUUGGAGGUAACUGCUGUGUGAUUUCUGUGCCGAGCAGUGAGCUAACCAGUGGAACACGCGCUCAUCCAGCAAAUUUUCUUUGGUUUGUCAUGUCUCACGUCGGGGAAACUGGCAUCCCCCUUUUUUACGAUACCCAUGCCCGAUCGUCAACACACAUAAUCACCUCGCACAUGAGUGCAUUGCAAUGGUUUUAACAGUAAAACACUGUCAAAUCAUCAAAUUAAGUAGAUUGAGGAAUAAGUGAGUACGUGUGAGUGGGUGUGUGUCUAACUAUGAUUGACUGUGUUGAUAAAUCAUGUUCAUGUGGUCAGUGACGCGAGGCAGGCUGGUUAUUUAGUAAAACACAACUCUGAUAGCAUUGGAAACUAAUUGCGGAUAAUUCAAGAAUGAUUUAAAUAGUGGAUUUUUUUUUCAAUUUGACAUCCUUUCAGCCACACAGGUGUCAUAAUUAUAUGCAACACAUUUGUUUUCUCUCCUAUUCAAAAGCACAACAGAUGACAUAUUGCGACAGUAGAUCAGAUCUCAGGCUUGAAAUGUGUACAUACUUGACCUUCAGUGAGUGUCCUCUUUUCACAACCUUUUAGUUUUCGAAAUGUCAAGAGCAUCUCUACAGAAUGGGUUCACAAUUUCCUCACGUCGGCAUUAUGAGCGUGGAUGUGUUGUUCCUGCUUUAAUCAUUGAUCAUUGGUAGACAGAGGCGAUUACCAGUUAUCUGCUUUAAAUGGUUAAGUGGCUGGGGUAAAAACACUCAGUUGUGUUCAAUGGUACUCUUUCAUUGGAAGCUUCUAUGAGGCUAAAGUCUGAUAUAGUAAAAAGAAGUGGAUAUCUUGCUUCUGGUACAGCACAUUAUUAGACUUAUCCCUGAUUGUUCUUCCCUGGACGGUGUUUAAAUGAUGAGCCGCAGUGGAAAGAAAUCAAGCAUUAGGGAAUUUUGCAGUGAAAAGUGUAAUUUAGGAUGGUAACUACCUCAUUUGUUCUAACACAGAAAUCUCGAGCCUCCUAUUUACAGAAUGAUGAUUUUUCCAACAUUGUAGAGGGCUGGUAAUUGUGGACUGGUUAAACGGACCCCCAUGGGGCCAACAGGGGACAGAUUGCUGUUGUGGAGAAAAUAUCUCCAGCCAUUAAGUACUAAGAGGUUUGCAUGAGUUCAUUGGACUGCCAAUGGGUGGAACCACUGUAAACUGAAAGACUACUGCUUCCUGUCCUCCAAGUAUAUAUACUUAUAUAUAUAAUAUAUAAGUGUAAUUCCGCUGAAUGGAUCCACUUUGCUGGCGCAUAUUUGUUAAGAACAGAUUUGUUUUUACCACCUUUCUGUUAAAGAUUGUGAAGCAAAUUGUUACAUUUUUAGUUUACAUUUUGAACAUCAGUGCCCACAAUAUUCUUUUAUCAAAACCCCUUUCUAUCUGAGAGGGACAGACUUCGGGAGCAACAGGUGGUUAAUGGAAGAAAGGAUGAGAGUCAUGGGGGAUUGUGGGAUGACGGGUAAGGAAUGAUAACAGGUGUAGGAUGUGGGGAUGGAGUAAAAGCAUGAGGGAUGAAGAGUAAAGGAACAAGGAGGGUAAAGAGCAAUGUGGAAUGAUGAACAGAAGAGAACCGUAUUGGACCCCUGGCAUUCCUUGGCUGGUGGGAACGAGGGGAAACAAAACUCUUAUGAGUUCCAAAAAGAUAGCUCAAUAAGGACUGGUGGAAGUGGAAGUUUUCUGAUAUUGUUUGGCUUGGAAUGGAUACAUGCAACCCAAGUGGUAAAGACCAGCAGCCGAGAACCUUAAUAACUGAAUGAUAUGGUCGGGGGUUGGAAGGAGAUGGUUUCUGAGACCAGGGUGACAUAGGGUGGGAGGUUAAUUCCCCGGCUCCACCAGUCCUCCUCAAUACGUCGUUGGGCAAGACCCAAAAGCCCGUAGCCCCACCAUCGCCAUCACUUCAUAGGCGCUGCGGCUGAAGUGGUGCUGGUAAAAAUGUUCUGCAGGCUGGGACACGAGAGUGGGGUUGGGCUUUGACUCUGUGAAACAGAUUGGAAAGUUUUGCCUUUCUUAUUUUGGGCCGUCGGAACGGGAUGAUUGCAUUCUCAGGAAUGUACAGCAUGAUGACAGAGGAGGCGGUGUUCAGGGCUGCAUCUCGCCCAGGUGGGUGAGGGACGUUGGGGACGGGCAAUAUCUCUCGGACACCAAAGUCAGGAUCUCCAGACGACAUGCAGAGGAUUUUGUGUAUAAUAGAAAAGGUUCGAAAUGCGAUGCAGGGUUGUCUGCAAAACAUGUAAAAUGAAAUGCAAACACAUGAAAUCAUUUAGAUAAGUAAGAGGUCAAUUAUAAAUAAAUAUCUUGUAAAUAAUGUGAUGUCACGAGAGGCUUGGUCUUGGAAGGGAGAUACGUUCACCGGCGAUGGCUAUAACUACUAUGGCUCCAUCUGCUGGUGCCCCGAAACUCAGAGCAUUCCCCUCACACCUGAGACCCAUCAGGGUGUGACGACCAGGAGGCCUUCAUAAAGGUGGAAGACACACCAUUGGAGGAGAGACGAGCUGAGAAGAGCAGACCAAGCCAUAAGGAUUCGAGGAGGCAGGAGAGACCGGGAGGACGGUGUUUUCCUCAAAGAAGUGGAUUUCCGUUAAGUUUUACCGGCAAAGAUUGACCGAAGCCUGAGUUACCCCCUGUUUUUGACUGUUUUCUGUUGAACCUGAAGGACGGAAAUUAAAACCUUUUGUUUACAUUUUGAACCCGGUUUCCUCGCACUAUUUGAACUACCCCGGAGAGAGCGGCGGCGCCUCUCGUGACAUCACAAUAAAUAUUGGCAAUGCGACUAUUAAAGUAACCGUCUUGUCUUUGUGGUGACUUUAACAGUAUUUUAGGAAACGCCCAACAGAACAAGAAAGUCCUAAAGACCAGUGGCGGCUGGUGGAUUUUUUUUGGUAGGGCCAGCCAAUCAGUGUCAGUAAACAUCCCAGUAUGUUUCAAUGCAAGAAAAGGUAUCAACAUGCAUUUUUAAUUUUCAGUUAAAUAUUUAACAUUUAUUCCAACAUUUUAAAAUAAUAAUAAU